rnacentral:lncRNA from 1 species
GAAAUUUCUAUUGCUGAAUGUCAUUUAUUGUUCAUGCUAGAUAGAUAGAUGUAUUUCUGUAAUUUUUGAUUGACAACUAGAUAGAUAGAUGGACUGCAAUUACAGUAUAUAACUGGCUUUAUAAAUUUGAUAAUAGAAAGUCGAGAGAAUAAUUUUCAGUCACAUGUAGGAGGUGUAAUGGUGGUAAGCUAUCUGCUUUCUUUUCUUUCCUGUAUGACUUUGUGAUAACCAUGGUUAUGGUUGGUUCGGAUUGGAGGAUGUCAGCAAAUUCCAACUUGGAUUGUGGGUUAUGCAGUUGAUUGAUUUUUGAAUGAUAAGGGAAAGGUCAAAGUCUCA